CCCCAGCUUGCACAAAACUAGAGAUCCGUGUUGCUCUUAAAUAAUUUCUCGGAAAGUCAGUUUAAUCCAAUAUAAAUAAUAUUCUGGUGUAUGCAGUUGUGGGUAAAAGUCAGUACCAAGGAACAAAUCCUGUAUGAAAUUAAGUCAGCAAUAAAUCUCCCUUUGGCAUCAGUAGUUCAAAAUCAGGGACUACGUGUCUGAGUCUAAUUGCAGUUAUUGUUCUCAGUGCUGCAGUGUGGACAAUGACCCCUACGAGGAAGCCUGACAAACUGAGAAAUCCUGCUGCUGUAAACAGCAUCAACUGUUCUCCCCUCAGUGACAUUCUCCUGUUAGUGACAUUCUGGAUCAUCUGUUCAAAAGUGUUCAACAAGUGACUAUUAAAGGCAGAACCUGAGCAUGGGUAGAGGAAAUAAUGCGAAUUUUGACGUGAAAUUCGCACCGGUGGAUUUAGGCAGUUGCCUCCAGGAGUAUGGCCGGGCGGUGUAAUGAUGUGAGCAGCUGUAUUGCCCUCUAGUGACAGGUGAAGAAAUUCUUCUCCAUGCAAUCGGUAGCACCGUCAGGCGCUUUACAGACACAUAGUUAAGACAGGUAUCGGCAGUAAAAAGUUCUUCUGGAAGCUUUUGUAAUUUGGAGAGCCAUUCACAGGAGCGACCUUGGAAUUUGAAAUCUGACUCAGGGUUUUGUCACCUUUCGUGCAGGAUUUCUGCAUUUUCCAAAGAUUAGCAAGAAAAAAUGGAUGGCCCACAUGGUAACUAAAGCUUCAAAAUAGUGCUGGUGAGAAAUACAACGAAGUCAGUAAGGAGGAUUAAACAUUUUAAGGAUCGCUGCUGCUAUUAAAACUGUAUCAUUUGAAAUUGUGUCCUAGGCAUACAGAUUACAGCUUCAUGUUCUUUGCACUGACAUAACACCAAGGACCUGACAAUCAAAUUUCUGGUGUGGGAAAAACAUGAGAUAAAGGCUUUCUCAAGUGAAAUGGACCAGACAAGUGUUCUGCACUUCAUCCUAUUGUAAAUGCUGUAGUUCCGCUGAUGUUAUUGUAGCUCCACAAACAAUAAGUUAAGAUCUUGGCUGCUAUAUGACCUCCUUACAGUGUAUACAGCUUAUCCUAAUGUACGGCAGUGUUUUGGAUAUGGGCAUGGUGAUCUAGUUGACAGGGGUUUUUCUCUGUAAUGCCUGAUGUUACACUGGUGGUUCAUCAGCUAAACUGUGGCCUAGACAACCUCCUCUAAUUCAUAAUAUAUAGGAAAUGAUACACACAGGUAGUAAAAGCUGCCCAGCUUCUGGCAGCAGGAGCAAAACAAAACCACCUUAUGUACAAUUUGUGGUCCACCCUGGGGAGCGCAGCUGGAGGGACUCUGGGUGGGCCAUGGGGCCAAAAGGGAUGUACUCUGCUGGGCCAGAUGUCUCUGGACACCCACUCGCUCCCAG